rnacentral:rRNA from 1 species
GAUGAACGCUGGCGGCGUGCUUAACACAUGCAAGUCGAACGGAAAGGCCCAAGCUUGCUUGGGUCCUCGAGUGGCGAACGGGUGAGUAACACGUGGGUGAUCUGCCCUGCACUUCGGGAUAAGCCUGGGAAACUGGGUCUAAUACCGGAUAGGACGAUGGUUUGGAUGCCAUUGUGGAAAGUUUUUUCGGUGUGGGAUGAGCUCGCGGCCUAUCAGCUUGUUGGUGGGGUAAUGGCCUACCAAGGCGUCGACGGGUAGCCGGCCUGAGAGUGUGUACGGCCACAUUGGGACUGAGAGACGGCCCAGACUCCUACGGGAGGCAGCAGGGGGGAAUAUUGCACAAUGGGCGCAAGCCUGAUGCAGCGACGCCGCGUGGGGGAUGACGGCCUUCGGGUUGUAAACUCCUUUCGCUAGGGACGAAGCGUUUUUGUGACGGUACCUGGAGAAGAAGCACCGGCUAACUACGUG